rnacentral:rRNA from 1 species
CCUACGGGUGGCUGCAGUGGGGAAUAUUGGACAAUGGGCGAAAGCCUGAUCCAGCCAUGCCGCGUGUGUGAAGAAGGCCUUCGGGUUGUAAAGCACUUUCAGUGGGGAAGAAAGCCUUGGGGCUAAUACCCUCGAGGAAGGACAUCACCCACAGAAGAAGCACCGGCUAACUCCGUGCCAGCAGCCGCGGUAAUACGGAGGGUGCGAGCGUUAAUCGGAAUUACUGGGCGUAAAGUGCGCGUAGGCGGUCUGAUAAGCCGGUUGUGAAAGCCCCGGGCUCAACCUGAGAACGGCAUCCGGAACUGUCAGGCUAGAGUGCAGGAGAGGAAGGUAGAAUUCCCGGUGUAGCGGUGAAAUGCGUAGAGAUCGGGAGGAAUACCAGUGGCGAAGGCGGCCUUCUGGACUGACACUGACGCUGAGGUGCGAAAGCGUGGGUAGCAAACAGGAUUAGAUACCCCGGUAGUC